GGCCGCGAGGUGCGCGUGCGCAAGGGCCAGUCUCCCAAGGGGUGCGAGUGGAAGGUCCGGGCGGUGCGACCCCAGCGCCGCCUCGGCUGGCAGGGCACUGAGCCCGCUUGGGCGUGCGACUGUCCUUCUGUGAGGGGGCGCCUGAGGAAAAGGAUGCCAACCCCACAGAAACCCUCAGACUGCCUAGCGCUGGCCCUCAGUCCCAGCCACUUGAGAAACCAUAGCAACACAACCAGCAGCAGCAGCAGCAGCAGCAGCAGCAGCAGCAGCAGCAGCAGCAGCAGCAGCAGCAGCAGCAGCAGCAGCAGCAGCAGCAGCAGCAGCAGCAGCAGCAGCAGCAGCAGCAGCAGCAGCCGCCGCCGCCGCCGCCGCCGCCUUCUCAGGCCCUCUCCAGAGUCCCCAGAAUUAAACUGUCUGCAGCUGGCAAAAUCUCACCCCUCCUGGAGCACGAGGCAAAUCACAGUCAGCAGCUGUGGAGUCUGAAGCAGCCCCGUAUCCCACACCUGGGAUUAAAAUGGAACCAUAGUCACAGAACAUAACUGGGUUGUUAAAUAAAACUCACUACACAUGGUCUCUCCAUAGCCCUACAUCUCCUGGAACUCACUCUGUAGACCAAGCUGACCUUGAACUCAACAGAGAUCCACCUGCCUCUGCCUCCUGGGCGCUAGGACAAACCGUGUGUGCCAUCACACUGGGCUAAAGCAGAAUAUUCUUUCAGCUGCCAGUACUACACUUGAUCUUAGCCAAACGGCCGAGAAGCGAUCAGCUGCCAGUACUCUGACUUGACCGUUCUUACUGAGACGGCUCAGUGGGUAAAGGUGCCUCCACCCCUGGGCCUAUACCAUAAAGUGGGGGGACCCCUGAAGGCUGUCCCUGACCUCCAUGGAGGCUAUGACAAUCACGCGCAGACAAAACUGGAAUUACUAGAUAGACGUGACUAAAGUAAUCUGGGGUUGGGGAUGUGGCUCCAUUGGUAGAACAACGGAGUCCGACGUGCAUGAAGCCCCGAGUUCAAGUUCGAGCACCACGAACGAGCACAGUGACAGUUAUGUAAUCCUGGCAAAAACUUCUUGGUCAUCCUUGGCUACAUACACAUUUGUGUCCAGCCUGAACUACCUAAGUCCCUGACUCAGAAAAAGAAAGAAAGAAGAAGAUAAAAAAAAAAAAGGGGGAAAUACAGUUACUUAAAAGAAAAUUACUAUCCAAGGCUACAUAGCGAGAUGCUUUUUAAAGAGAAAAAACUAAAGGGCAUUAGUUUUAUGGGGAGAUCACGUAGGGAUGUCAGUGAAGAACUGGGAGUCAGCUUCUACCAUUUAGGGUCCAGUGAUCAAACCGAAGUCCAGGCUCGGUGGCAGAUAUCAUUCACCCGCUGAGCCAAGGCCGGGUCACACUGCUCUGGCUGGACACGUGUUAGGGACUCCUGCUGCCUUGGCCUCCCCAGUGCUGGGGUUACAGCUGUGCACCACCACGCUUGGCUGGAAAGGUUCUUCACUCAUGAGUUCAGAUCCGUUCCUGGCCAGGAAAGGUUGGCAGAGCCGAGCUCUCCACACCACAGUGCCUUGGCAGCAGGGAGCACAGAUGCCUGUGCCCUCUGCCUUACUCUCUCUCUCUCUGCCUCCUUGUUUCCUUUUCCUUUUCCUGUUAACUGGGUUUAACCCCAGCCCAUUCACAUGAUAGGCAAGAAGCCCACCUACAUGAAGGUCGCCCCUCUUACAUUCCACCUGGGUUCAUCUUCUCUGGAAACACCUUCACAGACACUGAGCUGUCCUUUACUAAGGCCCUAUGCCUUCCUCUGUCCAAUCAGAUGACAGAAGGUUAAGAAUCACAAAUAAGCCUGGGGAGGUUGCCUGGCAACCGGAGCACCUACUGCCUCUGCAGAGGAUGUGGGUUUGGUUCACAC
ensembl:lncRNA